AAAAAAAUACACAAGUCAUACAUAUCACCAGACUUGGUGUUUCAUCAGAAGAAAGUGCAACUUGCAAACAGAAGGUGCAACUUAUCACAUCUAGAGGAAGGAUCGACAUUACUCAUCCUCACAUAAUCGAAACUGCAGUCGCUUAUUCUCUUUCAUUUUGCAUAAACGACAAACAUACAAGAACCUAAAACUGAUAUCAAUGCCUAAGGUUUACCACCGAGCUCCACUUCCAGGUUGUCAUAUGGAUAUAUCUUUGGUGCAAAGGGAAUCUUCGAGGCCUUGUCGUUCCAGACAGCAAGCAGCCCGAGCCCCGCAAAGAAACUCAGCCCUCCGCACAGCCAUGCCAGGGCCUCAUACUUGCCGACGGUGGGGGCGAUGCGGUCGAUGCAGGGCUCCGGAAAGGGGGUGCCGUUGUCCCACACCAGUUCUUCGUGCACAGGGAGGGGUUUGGAGGGGACGAUGUGGCGGCCGGCGGGGAGGCCCAUACCGGAGCGAGUGCGGAGAGAUGCAGCGGUGGAUCUGCCGACGAUCCCAGCCCCGCCCAUGAUACGGGAGGCGGCGGCGGUCAAUUUUCCGGCCAUCUCUGCGUCGUUGGAAAAGUCUUCGUGUUCGGACUUCAGAUGUAGAAAUGGG
rnacentral:misc_RNA from 1 species